CUUUGAGAGAUUAGAGUUCCAUCUCCUUACACCCAUAUGCAGGGGCUUCUCACGGGCAUAUAUCUAGGAGCAGAAUUCCUGGCUCAAAGUGUACGGGCAGUUUCAGCCUGAGCAGAUCUGCUGAAGCCUUUAAUCAGAGAAUCCACCCACCUCCAGUAUUUGGGAUUUAUGUGACUACAGUGAUCUGCCCUCAGUGAGGACAAGACUUUACUUGAACCAAUCAGAAUCUUUCCCUGAGGAUUUAUAUGUGUCUGAGAACUCUGCAGGCGGCAGACAUCAAAAGGACCAAAGAUUCUGAUAGUGAGUCAGCCGCCCACGGCAAUGAGACUUAAGCUCCAUGAUAGCAGGGAUUUGGCCAUAUUCACUGUUCUAACCCCACACCUGGAAUCGUGCUUCACCCAAACUGAUGUAUCAGACAUUUCUGUGUCCCACCCUACACCCUCUUGGCCAGCAUUGAACUGUAGCUGUUGCUGUGGCAACCAGCUGUUCACAGGUAGGACCUGAAAGCAACUCAAGUUUAAGUCACUUAUUUCAUGUAUCUCUCACUUUCUUCCCUACAGCUUCUUGUCCCCAAGCAACACAUGGAAUAGUUGCAAAAACCUUCUCAUCCUGAUGCAUCUAUAAACCUAGAAAUGUCACUUUCCAGCAUAAAACACCAACCACCACCUCUUGUCUUGGCUUCUGCUUUAGGAGAUAUCCAGGCUAACUCACCUUUGGAAAAUACUUCAAAAGAAAAGUAAGUAACAGAAUAAAGCAGAAUCUAUUCUGAUACUCUCUGUAAAGGACACAAGACCACACUUUUUUCUUAUUGGCAAGAAAAAGAGGAAACUUUGUAAUGCCAUAAGUAUCCAUCAGGCAUGAAAGCCCCCCAGGUGGAGUGGACUCAGUGCCUCCUGAUGAAGCUGCAGAAGCCCGGCCCCAGCAAGGAGAUGGAGAGCUGUGCUCGAAGAGAUGUGUGAUGCGUGCUGCAGACGAUGGCAUGGCUGAAUGCAAGUCAGAUAUGUGGAAUCAGUCUUCCUGGAGUCAAGGUUCCAGGAGAGCUUGCCUAGAAUCAAGCACACUGACCUCCAUGUUUCUGCUCACUCACACUGGAAUACAAUGAAACAAUGAACUCCAGAAUCUCUUGGACCUUAAAAACUUGUCUCAGAAAUUAAAGCCUUGGAGACAUAAAAGGUGGUUAAUUUUUCUUCUGAUUGGAGAUCAUGACUUUGGAAGAGGCUGGAAAAUGUCAUAAGCAAAUAGCUGGCUCUGAACAAUGGGUCCAGGACAGAUUUGCUUUCUACACCACGUACUAUGAUUCUAGAUAGGCAGACUCCUACAUGAGCGUUUUAUAAAGAUCAGGAAGAAUUAUUCUGGUGGGAGUCAUACAGAUUUGAUAUAGGAGAUAUCAAACUAAAAGGAGGUGAAGAUGGUAAAAAGUAUGUAUUACGGUGAUAGGUGUGAUAUAUGGAGAACAAAGGAAAGAAGUAUUUGACGAUUAUCAAUAGUAAAUAACACAAUAUUCCCAAUAUCCCCAGACUUCUGCAACCUGUAAUGCAAAUGAAGUCAUAUUAGCAUUUGUAUACAAAUUUGACUGCCUCCUUCUGCUUACACCCUCUCCCAUGGGAGUUCCACCCACUGUAAAGGGUCCUCAGAGUAUUUCUAGGGAUUAACAGAGGAUACACUAACCCCUUCUUAGACUUUGGGGAAGAAUCUGCCACCCCUACUUCCCAACCACUAAGUCUGCAGUGCUUACAGGGCUCUCCUUGUCAGCCAGCUCCUGGUGCCUGCAAAGCAAAAACCCUUUUACUUCUAUGUCCCUGCAAGAGAUCCUGUAGUCUUUGAGAAAUGACGUCCCUAAGAAUCUGCAGAGUGAAUUCUAAUCCCAAAUCAAAUGCCAAAUAUGUCACUCACGACAGGCCAAUUUUCAGUGACUCAAUGUCCUUAUCUGUGCUCGGAGAUAAUAAUUUGUGUCUCUCAUAAGAUCACUUUGAUGAAGGAAAAAUAUACGUCGAAGCAUUUUGAAAAAUUAAGGAAGAUCACUAAAUUGUGGUUGUUAUAUUGUUUAGAGUUUGACAAUAUAUAAUAGGUUUCCAUUCAGACAAUCUGUAUGCCUGAGUGGGAGCCAUGGCAUUUGUGUCUAGGUAGUAAUUAGGUUUUUCUUUUCUCAAAAAAGAAAGAAAGAACUUUUGGAUAUUAACACUUCUCAAUGGCUUCAUACUAGGGAAUUCAUUUGAACAAAGGGGCCUAACAGUUCUGUAGCUUUUUGGAGUCUCCUUUUUUCUCAAAUCCCUGUCAAUCUAGUUUUCUAAUCAAAGCAUAUUCUUUGGGGACCCUUGGUGACAGCUGGAAGUCAGAGUUGCAGUUGGUUAUAUUUAUUCAAAGUAUUUUGUAAAGGAUUCUUGAUAGGAAAUUUUAAAUUGGAAAAAAAAAUCUCUGGAGAAAUUAUUACUUCAGAGAAGUGUAAGUAGUCAUGGACUCUGAAAAGGUAUAUAGUAUGGGGAGCAUUUUUCCCACACUGGAAGUUCCAGACAGAAUCACCCAGGGACAUCACCAGCAGUGCUUAUCAGUAAAAAAGAGUUUAUGGUCUGAACAUCUAUUCACUUUAAAAAUCAAAGAAUUAUCAUUGUAUCUAUAGAUUUCUGGCAGGCUUUCUUUUUUUUUGAAGAAAAGAAUGCCUAAUUUCUCCAAGAAAGUAAAUUGAUUUGGUUA